GGCACAAUAAAUUCAGUUGAAAGUUUGCGCUUGGUGUGUGUUCUUUUCUUACGUCCGUGUCUUUUUUUUUUUUUUGUUGCGCAAUAAUACUUGCGUAAUGGACAACCAAAACGUGCGGUUGUUUGAUAUAUUCUUGUGUUCUUUUUUUUUAGCUUCGGGACUAUUGCAGUAGACCCAGCUACAUUACUUCUAAUGCGAAAGAAUUAUAUGGCUCAUGAAGCGGAAGAUCCGGUGCCGUAGAUAGAAAUAGUAGAAAAAGUCACGUGGUCACAGAGAAGCGCUCGUGCGACUGCUCGCGCGUUCAUCGUCGUCCUCUUCCACAGCUGGCACCGAUUCCGCUCACAAUGCUCCAUCUGCGAAGGCGCUGACGGAACUGGUCCACUGCCAGUCGGUGCGGUGAUUUCGCAAAAGCCUCAACGUGGUUACGGAGAGGAAAAAAGCAGAGGAAAGAGAGAGGGCCAGCAGAGACGAGACAAGAAACGAAGAAAGGUUGAAGUCAGACGGGGCCUUCCUGAAGUUCGCUUGCUGCGCCGCCCAGACUCCGGCCAGGGCGAGCCGCACCCGGCGCGGGUCCAGGGAGCCACACGCGCCGUCUCCACCGUUUCCAGAUCCCGCCGCGGCGUC